rnacentral:rRNA from 1 species
UACGAAGGGGGCUAGCGUUGUUCGGAUUUACUGGGCGUAAAGCGCACGUAGGCGGAUCGUUAAGUCGGGGGUGAAAUCCUGGGGCUCAACCUCAGAAUUGCCUCCGAUACUGGCAGUCUCGAGUGCGGGAGAGGUGAGUGGAAUUCCCAGUGUAGAGGUGAAAUUCGUAGAUAUUGGGAAGAACACCAGUGGCGAAGGCGGCUCACUGGCCCGUAACUGACGCUGAGGUGCGAAAGCGUGGGGAGCAAACAGG